rnacentral:lncRNA from 1 species
GGUCCUGACCUUUUCUGCUGGAUCCUGGGUGGACUGCUUCUCCAGCACACGUAUCCACCUUUGCAUCCGGUGACCCAGAGCCUGCACGAUGUCCCAGUCUUCCUGCUGUGCCUGGACAGGGAUGCUGGAUGAACUCAGCUAAACCUGUAAACCCAGAGCACCAGUGCGCAGACUGUCUGUGCUAUAGUUGCUCCGCGUGUCCCUGAGCUAUUUCUGUGCUACUCGGUGGGAGAAGGCAGCCAGGGUUAGACCCAAGCCGGUGCUCGUGGAUGGCAGCCCCACCCUGCGCCCAGCUGAACCUUGGUCCCAGCAUCCCCAUCACCUCGGGAAGCCUAGAGAGCUGGGCCUCAAGCACCUGCUGACCUCUGCCCGGCAGAAGGCAUGGUGAUGUCACUGGGGUUAACGCUUCCUGCUUCCUCUUGGGACAGAUGGCUCCCCUUCCCUAUUGGGAGAGAAAGCUUUGGUGAGAGAUAAUAAUCCAGGCUUGCGGAGACCUGGGGGAGUGCUCAGAGGGGCUCAGGUCUGCACAGGUGAGGCAUGGGCUCAAGAGAAGGAGGAAGGCAGUUCCGUCCUUUUGUUAGAAAACCUCUAGUUUCUUCCUGGUUUGCCCUGUGACUUUCCAUGCACAGAGUGUACGGGGCAGCGCUUCUUUCAAAAGGGAAGAACUGUGGGGCAGCUAAGGCCAGAGGAAUGCCUACCAACCUGCUCCCCGGGGGCAACGCGGACUUCCUAGCUGAUGCCAUGGAACAUCACGGCUGCUCAGACCCAUGUGAACACCCCAGUUCCAGACUGGAGACGGGACCAAGAGGUUCCCCUCACAGCAAGAUGCCUGCCUCUGCCACCCAGUUUUGCCACGACCUCCUCAGGGAAGGACCACAGUGUUUGCUGAGCACCUGUGCUGGCCAGGGUGAGGGCUUCCUGCCCAUCCAUUCUGGCGAGCAUCUCAAGCAGGGGGCGAGGCUCCUCCAUCAGCCCUGAGCCUUGUCAAUCUCGCCUGCGGAUCAGAUUGGAGGAUGCCUGAUGGGGUGAUGCCUGGUCCGGGCGAUCUCUGAGAGUGGUCCCUGCUACCCUGCACACACCUCCUUCAGAGAUCUGAAGCCCUUGCUCAGAGGGUAGGGCUAAACUUCCAGUUCAUCUCAGGAAGUGAAACAGAGGGGCUUGCUGGCAUUCAUAGGAAAGUAAUGAGAAAACAGGCUCAGAGGGUGUAAGCCACUUGCCUGGUAAAUGACACGGCCUGGCUCGGAACCUUCAUCAGCCUGACUGCACACCAGUCUCCUGUCUGAGUGCCGUUCCAUCAGAUGACAAAUAGUAGGUCUUAGACACAAGAGAUAGGUCUGAGGGGAAGUGUGCGCCCCAGCCACCCCUCUCCCAGCCCACUCCACAUGCACACUUGCCUCCAGAGGCCACCCUGGAACAAAAGAGUCAAACUUUGUCAGCCACGUGCCCUGCUCCAGGAAAGCCUCUUUGAACACACCCACACCCCUGCCCUCCAUUCAGGGGCUUCUAGGAAGUGACACUGGUCCCGGAACAAGGGAAGAAUUCAAAUGGGUCUCUGAACUUGGGUGCAAGGGAUGCACCAUCAGAGUUAAAGCUGCUGACAGUUCCUUGGAGGGAGCCUGGAGCCCCGGGAUUUGGGAGACAGAUGUGACGAUCCCGCAGACUCUGUUCAGCCUCCCGAUGGCUCCAGUGGCCCAGAGGGCCCCCUUCAGCUCCAGCCUCUGUCUCUGGCCUGGACGCAGAAUGUCUGCAUAUCAAGGUGCAAGAAUCACUUGAGCUGCUGGACACGCCGGCAGCUGGCUUCGGCUGCAAGAUCAACCUCAGCCUGUCCAGUGGCGGCCCUGGGAUCUGAAUGUCUAACAAGCACUCAGCACCGCCCCCACCCACCACCACGCUGAGGCUCGACUGGGCGACAUGGCCUUAGAUCACAGGGUGGCUGAUGGUGAUGGGACAGGGGUCCUUCAGAAGGCACAGGUCCAGGCGGCAGCCAGCCUGGGUGCUGGCCUCACGCUUACGCUCAGGGCUUCCCGGAGAGGAACAAAGUUUUCUCUGGACACAGGCAUCUGCUCUGAGUGGCUCGUGCUCCUCCCUCCAUCCAGAGGGCUGCUUGCAGCAAGUGAAGGCAAGAAACAGGCAUAUAGGUUGUGGGGGCUUUCCCCAGGCAUUUGUCUCCUGAAGGACCAACCUCAUAGAUAGAGUUCACAGCUAUUCAGUUGACCUCAGAGGAGCGGCUGAGACAGGUGGCAGCCUCAAGCCAGUUCCCAUCCAAGCUGCCUCUGCUCCCCACCUCUGCGCAUGGAGCUGAGGUCCUGGGGCUGCAGUGGCCUCACGCACUCCCUGCCCUGCCCUGUCACACCCUCUCAACCCAGGUCUCCCACAGGGGAAGCCGUCAGCUCCCUGGCAUGCCCUCCACACCUCAUCCUCACCAGUGCAGCCCCAAGAAGUUUAUACAUUUCUACCCCUAAGAUCUCUUUCUAUCCUUCAGUGACUUUCCCUGAAUCUGACAGGACAUGCCCCAUGUGCCCCCUCCUGCAGAAACCACGCCCACCUCCCACCAGAGCUGAGGGUCGGAGUCACGAAGCCUUCACAAGUGCCCCAUAUCUGGUUGCCCCUGGGGGCCCUGCAGUCCCUUUCUCCAGAGUGAACACUGGGGUCACCUUAAAAGGAAGACAGGGGAGUAGGGAGUUCCUGUUGUGUCUCAGUGGGUUACCAACCCAACUAGUACCCACAAGGAUGCAGGUUUGAUCCAUGGCCUCACUUGGUGGGUUGAGGAUCCAGCAUUGCCAAAAGCUGCGGCGUAGGUCCUGGAUGCAGCUAGGAUCUGGGACCUACAUUUGCUGUGGUUGUAGUGUAGUCCUGCGACUCCAGUUUGACCCCUAGCCAGGAAUCUUCCAUAUGUUGCAGGUGUGGUUGUAAAAAGAAAAAAAAAGAAAGACAGAUGGGAGUUUUCUGGUGGCUUAGUGGGUGAAGGAUCUGGCAUUGUCACUAGCUCCGGCCACUGCUGUAGUGUGGGUUCAAUCCUUGGUCCAGGAACUUCCAUAUGCCCCAAGCACGGCCAAAAAACAUAAAUAAACAAAAAAACGCCAAGUGAAGGGUCUCUGAAAGCCACCGGAAAUACUCGUUUUCAGCCCUGCACCGCCACCUGCUGGCCAAUUGGGGUAGGUCGUCCAGAGGUGAUAGGUUCCCAAGGCCAGGCAGGCAGGAACUUUCAUCCCUUUCAACUUCACUUCUUCCUCAGGAUCCCGCCAGGCCUCUCGUCCCCUCCUAGGUAUAACCAACCCACCACAUCUCUCUUCCAUUGUCCCACCAUUAAAUCCAUCUC